rnacentral:rRNA from 1 species
CGCGAAUAGCUCAUUACAACAGCUAUAAUUCACUUGAUCUUGACACAAUCCUACUUGGAUAACUGUGGUAAUUCUAGAGCUAAUACAUGCAUUAAAGCUCUGACCUCACGGGAAGAGUGCAUUUAUUAGAACAAAACCAAGCGGCUUCGGCUGUUUUCGGUUGACUCAUAGUAAUUGAGCUGAUCGCAUGGUCUUGCACCGGCGACGUGUCUUUCAAGUAUCUGCCGUAUCAACUUUCGAUGGUAGUGUAUCUGACUACCAUGGUGAUCACGCGUAACGGAGAAUAAGGGUUCGACUCCGGAGAGUUCGCCUGAGAAAUCGCGAACACAUCUAAGGAAGGCAGCAGGCGCGAAAAUUACCCACUCUCAGCACGAGGAGGUAGUGACGAAAAAUAACGAGACCGUUCUCUUAUGAGGCCGGUCAUCGGAAUGGGUACAAUUUAAACCCUUUAACGAGUAUCUAUGAGAGGGCAAGUCAGGUGCCAGCAGCCGCGGUAAUUCCAGCU